rnacentral:misc_RNA from 1 species
AGUCGUAACAAGGUAUCCGUAGGUGAACCUGCGGAUGGAUCAUUACCAAAGAUCUUUCUUUACGUACUGUGAACCGUUCUGAACCGAUAGUCGGUACGUCUUGGCCGAGCGGUGUUAAUGGAGUAGUAGUGGUCUUGGACUACUGCUCUCCGUUCCACGCCUGGCUCUGACCGCUGCCGCUGUCAAACUAAACGUACUAUCAUUCUCAGUCUAAAGUAUAUAGUUGCUUAAACUUAAACAACUUUUAGCAAUGGAUCUCUUGGCUCUC